GAAAAGGAGGAGGAUGAAGAAGAGAAGGAAGAGGAGAGCUUAAGGGAGAGUGGGAGGAAGCAAUGGGUUUUUUCUUGUUCCCCUGAAGUUUUUUUUUUCUUUUCUUCGCCCCAUAAUUCCUUUCCAUUAUUAUUAUUAUUAUUAUUAU
rnacentral:ribozyme from 12 species